UGGGGAAUCUUCCGCAAUGGACGAAAGUCUGACGGAGCAACGCCGCGUGAGUGAAGACGGCCUUCGGGUUGUAAAGCUCUGUUAUUCGGGAAGAACGAUUCGUUUGUGAACAAUGAACGGAAGUGACGGUACCGAAAGAGAAAGCCACGGCUAACUACGUGCCAGCAGCCGCGGUAAUACGUAGGUGGCAAGCGUUGUCCGGAAUUAUUGGGCGUAAAGAGCGCGUAGGCGGUAUGGUAAGUCUGUCUUAGAAGUGCGGGGCUUAACCCCGUGAGGGGACAGAGACUGUCAGACUGGAGUCUCGGAGAGGAAAGCGGAAUUCCUAGUGUAGCGGUGAAAUGCGUAGAGAUUAGGAAGAACACCGGUGGCGAAGGCGGCUUUCUGGACGAGCACUGACGCUGAGGCGCGAAAGCGUGGGGAGCGAACAGG
rnacentral:rRNA from 1 species